rnacentral:lncRNA from 1 species
UGUGGGACGCGCAUAGCCCGGAGAUCUCGCUAGCGGGCAGCUAGAGGCUCACUAGCUGCUUUCCUUCCUCUGUAGGAAGUCCUUAGGGGUAUGUGCAAGCAAGGAAAUCAAGUUGUUUUUAAAAUGUCUUUGCAGACGCUGCUGGACAAACUCAGGAGCUUGAUGCAAAGCUUGGUUGGGCCUUCACAGAUACCGGACAAGGAAAGCACACCUGGAAGCUGCAAGAGAAUUCAGCAUUUCCAAAUGUGUUUUCAUUGUGAGUUGGAGCAAAAUGCAAAUCUUUUGCCAUAAUGAGGGAGAAUGAACAGAAGAGAGCUGAAUAACGUUACAGAGGGCUUAUGUGAACAACACAACUGGUCAAUAAGAUAUAAACAACGUUUAAUUGGGAAGAGUACGGUCAUAUAAGAACACAACAUAACACGUUUGGGAGCAGGUAGCUGGAUUGCAAAAUAUCCACUCAGCUAAACUGAUACCACAAGUGGCGAUCUGGACAAAGCCCACAGGCCCAUUUUGCGGGAUGAAUAUGGAGAACUUACUGUUAUUCUGCAGUGGGAAAUUAGACAAGAGUGGUCUGGGAAAGGAUCUGGACAAAAGUGCUGUAAAACAGAACUAAGAGGCAUAAGUAGUCUUUGGAAUAAUACUGUUCUGGUUAAUUUUCAAGGAAAAAAUCUCUGUGGUGCUCCUUUAGGAAGAAACUGAUUUCUGUUGACAUAUUGUAUAGUCAGACAAAGACCAUACACACAUAUCAGCCAAAUUGUGGUUAAAAAAAAAAGGAGUCAUUUUAAUAUUUACAGGGCUCCCUGGCAGUAUGCUGCUUUUGUGUUUGAUGCCCAAACUUCUUCAGUCAAUGUAAUUCCCUAACACCUGUGUUGAGAUCUGCUAACUUGUAAAAGUAGCAUGGACCCGUUUCCAUGUUGCCUUUUUCUAAGAAGACUUGAACAUGUUUGCUCAGCUUUGCACCGCACCAGCCUUGUACUGUGAUAGGAAUUAACUUAUGAUUUUCUUCAAAUCUAAAGCCCACUUAAUUGUCCCUUAAAUGAGAGCCUAAUUGCCUGUAAGGAGCCUGUUGU